GAAGAAGAUCUUCAAGGUCGAUGAUCACAUCGGCGCCGCCAUCGCCGGACUCACCGCCGACGGCCGCGUCUUGUCUCGUUACAUGCGCAACGAGUGCAUCAAUCAUUCGUUUGUGUAUGAGUCGCCUCUCCCGGUUUCCCGGCUUGUUGUCAAGCUCGCUGAUAAGGCCCAGGUUUGUACUCAGCGAUCUUGGAAAAGGCCCUAUGGAGUGGGACUCCUAAUUGCUGGGUUGGAUGAAACUGGAGCCCACCUCUACUACAACUGCCCCAGUGGCAACUACUUUGAAUACCAGGCCUUUGCCAUAGGUUCCCGAUCCCAGGCUGCCAAGACAUACCUGGAGCGCAGAUUCGAGAAGUUCUCUGCUUACUCAGGCGAAGAACUGAUCAAAGAUGCACUUUUUGCCAUCAAAGAAACACUGCAAGGCGAGAAGCUGACAAGCUCCAU
rnacentral:misc_RNA from 1 species